CGUAGAAGAAUCGCGAAGCUCCACCGCUUGGACCUGAAAAACAAAACAAAAAACAGUUCCCCAUCCCUGCCCGCCCGCAUCCUCUUCUCCCCUCCGUGCAGCCAUGGCUCCACGCUUUUCUCCUCCUCCCCAACCUCUCCCUGCCGUCCCACGCUCUGGCGCCCUCCUCGCUGCCACCCAAGGCUCAAUACCCGUCAACCGCGCGCGCCGCCGCUAGGAGCCUCACGUCCGCGCUCCAGCCGGAGGAGCUCCUGGUCCUUCACGCGGCCCGGAGGAGGCCGUACAUGGGCAGGCUCGCCAUGGACGAGAAUUGGAGGGUAAUUUGGAGACCAGCGCGGCUGGGAGGGGUGGGCGCGGUCCGAGUUGAGGGGCGGCGCUGCGGCACCGGCCGGAUCAUGGAUCGGAGGUUAUAGCCAAACACCGGGGCCGGAGGUAGCCGGCAGCAGGCGGCGCUGCUUGGGCGACGAGGUAGAGGAGGCGGGGAACAGCGUCCGGCGUCGAGGUCGGCCAGGGCCUGGCCGGUUGAAGCUUCUGGCGAGGUGCUGCUGGUAUGGUCGAGGACGGUUCCACCUCGGUAGGUGGACGCCCGAGGCAGCUAUGAUCGUGGCACGCCUUCCUCUCUCUCCCGAGGCGGCUGAUGAUGUGGAGGAGAAGCUCAGUAGGCCUGCUCUCUUCUCUUGCAGGAUCUCUUCCCCAACUCCAUGGCAAGCGGCAGUACCGGCGUCUAGCCGUCGACGCAUCCCCGGCUCCGUCGCGACCGGCGGCGGCCGCGUCUAGACGACAUCAGCGGGAUGCGGUGCAAGCGAUGGUGGCGGCUGGCGGCGGCAGGUUCAAGGUCGCGGGGCAGGGCAAGCAUCCGUCGAGGAAAAAGAGGCAACGCCUGAAUUAGGAGAGGAGAAUAGCAGGCGAACCUGCCUAGGAAUCGGAGUGGCUGCACGUCGGCUAGCAGCAGAAGGAUGGACUACGAUUCGUGCUUCCGGUCCUCCUAUCCAUCCAUCUCUCUCUCUCCUCCCUCUGUUUCUCUCUUGCUUUCCAGCGCCCGUGCGUCCUGCUACAGGCUUCAUCAGAUCUUCCCUUCUUUCUGUAGCACCGCCGCUGUACAUUUCUUCUUCCCAGCAUUGAGGAGAACGACCUGGAGCCUACCAUGCCCCGGAUGUGGUCAGCUUUGAGAUCAGCAAACACUAGGUUCUCAUGUUCUUUUGUUUUCUGACCCGGAUACAACGAUCGGGUCCUCCUUAGUUUACCCUUUCAUCCCGUUUCCCUCCUACCACUAGCUACAGAAGACAAGUCAACCCUAUAAGAGUAUACUGAGCUAUGACGAGAAAAUGGUGCUGCAAUUGUUGGGCUAGCUUGCCUCAUGAAUUGUUUUGGAAUUUGAUUGAAAGGUUGGACUUUGCUGGUGUGCUUUGGUUGGUUAUUUAGCACUCUUUGAUAUAGAUGCUGCUGCAACACAAACUUCAGAUUCUACAAUGAACGGUGAUAUGCUCUCAGUCCAACUAAGAAAUUACCCUUGAAUAAUAUUUUCUCAUAUUGUUCAUGUUUUAUGGUGUAAACUACAGGAUAAUGAAUCAGCAGUUACCGCCGGAAAGUUUGAUGAUGUGUUAGAUACUAUAGGAGUACCUGAAUCUGAAAGAAUCGGUAUUAAUCUUCUGAGGAGAGGUGGACAUUAUAUGGCCGUUCAGGAAGAAGCAGCUGCACCAGCAGAUAGAUACGGAUUACUUGUGGGACUUCCUGCUGCUACUACUGCUUUACUAAACGAGCAGAUGCACUAUCGUUGUUACCAUGGAAUAGGUAUACAGCUUACUCAUUCCACGGUUCCUUUUUCUGGCAGCUGUCCUUUUUAUGUGCCACUGCCAUCACUAGAGAAGAUUUUUCCGUGGAGAAGAAGGAAAUUAAAACUUCGAAGAAGCCUGCACUAUUCAGAUUGUUUUUCAUAAUAGAGCAUAUCUGAAUAGCCUAUACAAAUAGUGAGUGUAACUGCUCACUUGAGAGCGUAUCUAUGAGCUGAGCCUCAUGCUCUUCCUUCUUCGUGAUCAUGUCGUUCUGUGCUUGAAAAGAUGUUCAUCUGGAGUUUUCUGAUGCUGAUGAGUUGGAUCAAGUCUGGCCUUUAAAAAAUAUCUGUAGUGUUGUUCGAUCGGUUUGGUUUCCUGGGAGGAAAUAUUUCUGUAGCUUCUUCUUACUUUCUUUUGGUCAGAUAUCUUUGGUGGGCAUACGUUUUGUUAGAUGUUGCCUUCUGGCUGAGACAUUGUAGCUGGUUUCUUUUAAUGGAAAUCGGGGGGAUGAUCUCUUUUCAUCAAAAAAAAAAAAAAAAUCCCCAAUAGCA